UAAACGACUCUCGGCAACGGAUAUCUCGGCUCUCGCAUCGAUGAAGAACGUAGCGAAAUGCGAUACUUGGUGCGAAUUGCAGAAUCCCGCGAACCAUCGAGUCUUUGAACGCAAGUUGCGCCCGAAGCCAUUAGGUUGAGGGCACGUCUGCCUGGGCGUCUCAC
rnacentral:rRNA from 1 species